rnacentral:rRNA from 1 species
AUGACUCGAUGCACUGACUGCCCACGGACUGCGCCACUGAAGUGGUUGACUUCGAAGGAGGAGAAGAAUGGGAACUUUGGGCGCGAGUUCGUCAAAUGCGAGAGCAAGCCGGAGGGGCAGAUCGUGAAGAAAUGCCACCAUUUUGAGUGGAUGGAUGAUUACAUCCAGAGGCUUCAAGGGUUGGGCUUGCUGGAUUCGAGGGGGAAUGCAAUCCGCAAGUUCAAUCUGCCCCAUGACAGUAACGCUCCGGCAGCAGCAGCGCAUCCGGAAUACCCGACGGUGGUAGAUGUCAAUUUGAAGACGGAAUUGAAGAAGAUGAGCAAGAACUUCAAGCAGCUGAUUGAGUUGAAGAAGCAAUCCAAUCUGAUAGCUUUAGGAAUACUUGCUCUAGGAAUUUUUUUACUUGAUGGCCAUCUCUCGUUAGAGAUGUUUGUCUACUGUUGUUGCCACUGUUUAGCAAUCCAAGUCUGUUUAUCUCAAAUGCAACUCUGUUUAGUGCAACUGUCGAUCUCUGAAUGUAUGCAGUUUACUGUUAAGUUUUGA